UGUAACAAAAAUAUAAAAUAAAAAACACAAGCAAACUGAAACAUGACAUGUCUCACGUCAUUGGAUAAGGUAUGGUGAGUGUAAGAUUUUAGGAAAGAAACUCAUAUUUAGGAGCAGAUGUCAAAAGACACAAAAACUUUCAUCAAAUUUCUACCCCAUUAUCCUGUUCCAUACAUAUUAUCUUUCUUUCUAUUUGUUUUUUUCUUUUCUUGUGGUUAUUCCUUUCUUCUUCUUUUUCAUUAGUUUUUCCUUUUGUAUUUUUUUUUUUUCCGAUUACCUUUCUUUUCUUUUCUUGUAUUUGUUUUAGCACUUGUUAGGCAUGUAUAAGCUGUGUUUACGACUGACUAGUGUUAUUUUUUACGUUCUAUAUAUAUUUAUAUAUGGAUAGACAUAGGUCGUUAAGUAUAUGUAAUGUGGUCAUGCAUGCAAAAAAUGAAAAACAUUGAUCACCAUGCAUGGACUGUUAUUAAGAACAUAAUUAGGUCUUGUACCAGAAAAAGAAGAACAUUAUUAGGUCAAAAGUUCUCCUCGUAUCUUGUAAUUAGUGUCAAUAAUAAGAAAAACUAAUCUUCCUAUACAUUGCUUUCUAUAAAACCCACGUCUAUCCUCAAAAUCUAAUUAUCUUUUUCUCACCCCUUUCUCUCUCUCUCUCUCUCUCUCUCUCUCUCUUUCUCUCUCUUCCUUUUCUCUUUCUGUCCAGGAACAAAAAAAUGGACAAAAAACCAAUCAACUCCCAAGAUGCUGAAGUGAGAAAAGGGCCAUGGACUAUGGAAGAAGACUUGAUCUUGAUCAACUACAUCGCCAACCAUGGUGAAGGAGUAUGGAAUUCGCUUGCUAAAGCCGCUGGUCUGAAACGUACUGGAAAGAGUUGCAGGCUCCGAUGGCUGAACUAUCUUCGCCCUGAUGUUCGAAGAGGAAACAUCACACCUGAAGAACAACUUCUGAUCAUGGAACUUCAUGCCAAGUGGGGAAACAGGUGGUCAAAAAUCGCAAAGCAUCUUCCAGGAAGGACGGAUAAUGAAAUAAAGAACUACUGGAGGACAAGAAUCCAGAAGCAUAUCAAGCAAGCAGAAGCAUGUACUGGAAGUAGCAGUUCUGAGAUGAAUGAACAAGGAAGCACAAGCAAUCAGAUUUCAGCAAUGAUGGAAACUUACUCUCCUCAAUCUUAUCAAGGAAACGUUCAGGAUGCUUUUCCAGGAGCUAAUUGCAACUUACCUCCUGAACCCAAUGACAAUUACUGGAGCAUGGAGGAUUUCUGGUCCAUGCAAUUACUCAAUGAUGAAAUAGAAAGUAGACUACACAUCAACCAGAGUAACUAUCUGCUUACACUCAUUAUAAUUGUGACUCUCAUCAAUAUUAGUGGAUGAGGAGACUUGAACUCGAGAUUUCUCCAAUUGUCAGGAGUGAGAAUAUCAAUCAGGAAAGGAAAUUGUAUGCAGAAGAGAACAAUGAAUGAGAAAAGAUGGCAAGAGACUAUCUUGAUUUUACAGAGACGAAGACGUGCAGAUAUUUAGAGCCGCACAUUAUUUUUAGUCACAUGUUUUAUGUGCAAAAAGGAAGUGUCAUGUGGAAGAUGAGGAAAUAUCACAUGAUGGGUCGGCCAUGACUGCGUACUCAUGGUGUAGGAAUAUUUGCGUUAAAGAAAGUCUAAUUGUAUUCAUGGCCACCUUUUUUCCGUUAUUGUCUACCGGAAUGGGGAAGACUAAUACCUAAGGUCUUGCUUGGAUGGAGUCGGGAGGAAGGUAAUUAAUGGAAGGUAAGGAAAGGAAACAAAGGGAAAGGGAGGAGAAGUGUAUAUAAUUACUUUUCCUUUGUUCGGGAGAGGAAUGAAAGUAAGAGAGGACAAUAUAUGUACUCUUGCUUGGAAGGAAUAGAGUAAGUAAAAGAAGGUAAAGUAUUGAAAAUAAAAUAUUAUAUUUACAAUUUAAAUAAUAAAGUAAUAAAAAUUGUUAUUAUUAAAUAAAAAAUAACAUCACAAAUUUGGAUA